rnacentral:lncRNA from 1 species
UCUGCCGAUCUGCCACCUCCCUUCCCCCAUAUGGUAAGUAUUAAAUGUUUGACUAUUUUAAAUAUAGAAUGAUUAUUAUUUUAGAAAGCACAAAUUUUGAAAAGAUUUUUAACAAUGGAAACAUAAACCCUAGAUUUUUAUGUUAAUUAAUUUUCGGUAGCUGCAAAUUAUGUAAAUAUAGAAUGGCAAUAAACUUUAGAAAGAAAUUUUUUUGGAAACAAUUUUAUCAAAGGAAACUUAAAUCCUAGAUUUUCAUCUAUAAAUUCAUUAGUUUGAAUUAUUAAAGAUGCAGCAGACGCAAGGUAACCUUCUUCUUCUUCUUCUUUUGUUGUCUUUCUUUUCUUUUGCAUUAACGCGACAAUACCUCCUUCUUUUUCUUCUUUUUUCCAGAUGUUUGGUUUAGAGGAUUAAGUGAUUGCUUACUUCCCUGUUUUGGCGGGUGGCGGCUGGAAAUUUUUGUUAGGUAAUAGAUAUAUAUUUGUACUAUAGAAACUUUUAUAACAUAAAUUAAUGAGUUCGAUUCUAUUGAUGGACGCUGCAUGCUUUUUUUCCUAUGUUUCUUUAUGAAAUUCUUAGAGGCUCUUAUUGUUCUCUGUCACUGCAAUCUUGGGUUUGACAUGAAAUCUGAUGUUUGUAUCUAAUUCUUGAAAUCAUGAAAGCGUCCAAAAAGUGGGACCUAAUGAAGCCUUAUGGAUAUGAAAUUUUUAGGAUAUAGUAUCUAGCUCAUAUUUCUUGGAUGUUUUACUUAUUAAACUAAGGGGUAAUUGCCUGUAAAUUCAUAACGUUUACUCGGAAUUGGUUUUUGCUCCCAUUUUCGAAGGUCUUGCGUCUAAUUACCUAACCUUUUUUUUUGUCUGAUUAAGCACCCGUCGUCGGUUUUCCCCAAAUUUUAAAUGACGUGUCACCGGGAAAUGACAGCGUGGCGCCGGAUUUUGCACAGUUGGAAGCCGAACUGAAAAAAAGAAACGACGCUGUUUCUAAUUAAAAGAAACGAUGUCUUUUCUCCAUCCAUUAACACUCAGAUUUCGAAUUAAGCCCUCAUUUUUCGAUUAGGGCUAUACCCUUCCAGGGUUCUUCAUGAAAUCGAUGGAAUUGGAGAGAUUCAUGAGCGAAUCGGUGUAGAAG